rnacentral:rRNA from 1 species
CUUAGCCACCAGAAUUAACUUAUCAACAUAGAUAGUACAAAAUCAACUAGUCCAAUAAACUAAACCAUUUUUCCACCUUAGUACGGGAGACGGAAAAGGUAAUUUUAAGCAAUAGAGAAAGUACCGCAAGGGAAAGCUGAAAGAGUAAUGAAAUAAUCCAUAUAAGCACAGAGAAGCAGAGCCUGACCUC